GACGAACGCUGGCGGCGUGCUUAACACAUGCAAGUCGAACGGAAAGGCCCUGCUUUUGUGGGGUGCUCGAGUGGCGAACGGGUGAGUAACACGUGAGUAACCUGCCCUUGACUUUGGGAUAACUUCAGGAAACUGGGGCUAACACCGGAUAGGAGCUCCUGCUGCAUGGUGGGGGUUGGAAAGUUUCGGCGGUUGGGGAUGGACUCGCGGCUUAUCAGCUUGUUGGUGGGGUAGUGGCUUACCAAGGCUUUGACGGGUAGCCGGCCUGAGAGGGUGACCGGCCACAUUGGGACUGAGAUACGGCCCAGACUCCUACGGGAGGCAGCAGUGGGGAAUAUUGCACAAUGGGCGGAAGCCUGAUGCAGCAACGCCGCGUGCGGGAUGACGGCCUUCGGGUUGUAAACCGCUUUCGCCUGUGACGAAGCGUGAGUGACGGUAAUGGGUAAAGAAGCACCGGCUAACUACGUG
rnacentral:rRNA from 1 species